UACGAAGGGGGCUAGCGUUGCUCGGAAUUACUGGGCGUAAAGGGAGCGUAGGCGGACUGUUUAGUCAGAGGUGAAAGCCCAGGGCUCAACCUUGGAAUUGCCUUUGAUACUGGCAGUCUUGAGUACGGAAGAGGUAUGUGGAACUCCGAGUGUAGAGGUGAAAUUCGUAGAUAUUCGGAAGAACACCAGUGGCGAAGGCGACAUACUGGUCCGUUACCGACGCUCAGGCGCGACAGCGUGGGGAGCAAACAGG
rnacentral:rRNA from 1 species